AACGAACGCUGGCGGCGUGCCUAAUACAUGCAAGUCGAACGAGAAAGUGGCUUCGGCCAUGAGUACAGUGGCAGACGGGUGAGGUAAUACAUAGGUAACCUCCCUCUAAGAUGGGGAUAACCUUCCGAAAGGAGGGCUAAUACCGAAUGAGACCACAGAGACUACGGUCUAAGGGGUUAAAUGAAGGCCUCUACUUGUAAGCUUUCGCUUAGAGAUGGGCUUAUGCACCAUUAGCUAGUUGGCGGGGUAACGGCUCACCAAGGCUUUGAUGGUUAACUGAUCUGAGAGGUUGAUCAGUCACACUGGAACUGAGACACGGUCCAGACUCCUACGGGAGGCAGCAGUAGGGAAUAUUGCGCAAUGGAGGAAACUCUGACGCAGCGACGCCGC
rnacentral:rRNA from 1 species